AUUGAACGCUGGCGGCAUGCCUAACACAUGCAAGUCGAACGGCAGCGCGUUUGGGGUAACCCAAAUGGCGGCGAGUGGCGGACGGGUGAGUACUAUGUAGGAAUCUGCCCAGAGAUAAGGGAUAACUUAGGGAAACGUAAGCUAAUACAAUAUAAGCCCGAGAGGGGAAAGCAGGGGACCGAUAGGCAUUGCGCCUUGGGAUGAGCCUACAUCGGAUUAGCUUGUUGGUGAGGUAAAGGCUCACCAAGGCGACGAUCCGUAGCUGGUCUGAGAGGAUGACCAGCCACACUGGGACUGAGACACGGCCCAGACUCCUACGGGAGGCAGCAGUGGGGAAUAUUGGACAAUGGGGGAAACCCUGAUCCAGCAAUGCCGCGUGUGUGAAGAAGGCCUUCGGGUUGUAAAGCACUUUCAGUUGGGAGGAAGGGGUGAGCACUAAUACUGUUCAUCAUUGACGUUACCGACAGAAGAAGCACCGGCUAACUCUGUGCCAGCCGCCGCCGUAA
rnacentral:rRNA from 1 species